rnacentral:misc_RNA from 1 species
GAUGAAGAACGUAGUGAAAUGCGAUACUUGGUGUGAAUUGCAGAAUCCCGUGAACCAUCGAGUCUUUGAACGCAAGUUGCGCCCGAAGCCAUUAGGCCGAGGGCACGCCUGCCUGGGCGUCACACGUCGUUGCCCCCCCAUCUACUCCUUCGGGAUUGCGGGGGGCGGAUGAUGGCCUCCCGUGCGCCUCGCCGCGCGGUUGGCAUAAAUGCCAAGUCCUCAGCGACGCACGCCACGACAAUCGGUGGUUGCGAAACCUCGGUUGCCCGUCGUGUGCGGUCGUCGCGCAUCGAGGGCUCGAAAAAAUUGCCGGGUUCCGGCUCGGCUUUCAACGCGACCCCAGGUCAGGCGGGGUUACCCGCUGAAUUUAAGCAUAUCAAUAAGCGGAGGA